UACGUAGGGGGCAAGCGUUGUCCGGAAUCAUUGGGCGUAAAGCGCGUGUAGGCGGCCAGGUAAGUCCGUUCUGAAAGCCCGGGGCUCAACCCCGGGAGGCGGAUGGAUACUGCUUGGCUCGAGUCCGGAAGAGGCGAGUGGAAUUCCCGGUGUAGCGGUGAAAUGCGCAGAUAUCGGGAGGAACACCAAUGGCGAAGGCAGCUCGCUGGGACGGUACUGACGCUGAGAUACGAAAGCGUGGGGAGCAAACAGG
rnacentral:rRNA from 1 species